UACGUAGGGGGCAAGCGUUGUCCGGAUUUAUUGGGCGUAAAGAGCGUGUAGGCGGCUUGGAAGGUCAGCUGUGAAAACUCGAGGCUCAACCUCGAGACGUCGGUUGAAACCACCUGGCUAGAGUCCGGAAGAGGAGAGUGGAAUUCCCGGUGUAGCGGUGAAAUGCGCAGAUAUCGGGGAAGAACACCCGGUGGCGAAGGCGG
rnacentral:rRNA from 1 species